ensembl:misc_RNA 7SK 7SK RNA
GGAUAUGAAAGCAAUCUGGCUGCAACAUCUGUAAUCCCACUGAUUGCUAGGGCUGACAUGGCUGAUCUGGCUGGCUAGGCAGGUGUCCCCUUCCUCCCUCACAGCUUCAUGUGUGUCCUUCCCAAAAGCUGCACUUGGUUGAAGAGGACGAUGACCUUCCCUAAUAGAGAAGGACUGGUCUUUUGUCGAAGGUAUAAAAGUAGCUCUGCUCCCUUGGGCUAGGGUGACACUCUAAUAAGUCCUGACCCUUUGUCAGUUUUCCAGACCUGAGUGGAUUU